CACCGUUUAAUUUAUAGUGUCGAAAUAGCUCUUUCAACACAUUGCUCUUUCAGUACUUCUUACCCGCUUUUAAGUAGCUGCCUUAGAUGCACAGAGGCUGAGAUCACAUUUCAAGAAAAGAAACUUUUCUUUGACACUGGUUUCCCACUAAAGGCAGAUAUUCCUACUGCUGGCAUAUCCUCAAACAGAACAGCUAUGAUAAUCCUUCUCUCCAGCAGGCCAAGAUUAUUUUACUCCAUCUUUUCUUGUGAAUGAAAUCCCUGUGAUGUACAUCCUCCCAAACCCCUGUCCAAGCAGAACAUCCAGCACAAACAGACAACCACCAAUGGCAGUCAUGAUGGGUGUGUGGUGAUGAUGGAUGCAUCCUGAGUAUGGGGGAGACAGAAGCCAAAGGGCUAAUUUGAACAAUACACGCAUACACUGCUGUCCAAAUUUGGAAGAAAGUUUAACUGAAGCCAAAUUUGGAAAAAAAUAACACUCAUAUGCAAAUAUAACUGUAAGUCCGUGAUCUUACAUCAUAAAUAUUAAGCAGCCCAAGAGCCCUUUGAGAUCUCCUGACACAACAGGACCUCAAAAAGCAUAAGGAGGAUCCUCAUAACCACAGACUGGUCAGCCUCACCUCCAUCCCUGGUAAGGUGAUGGAACAACUUUAGACAUUUAUAAAUCUUACAUACAUUUAGAUAUUUUUAGAAAUUUGCCCAGAAAGUGUAUGAUAUGAAAAGACAAAGUAGACAAUCCAUAGGUGGGAAGCUGGAUCAGACUUGUUAAAACAGGAAAUUGUGACAUGAACACAAAUUUCAGAGUUAAUAAUUUUA
rnacentral:lncRNA from 1 species